CUUAAAUUGAAGAGUUUGAUCAUGGCUCAGAUUGAACGCUGGCGGCAGGCCUAACACAUGCAAGUCGAGCGGAAACGAGUUAUCAGAACCUUCGGGGGACGAUAACGGCGUCGAGCGGCG
rnacentral:rRNA from 1 species